UGCCACAUGUCUAGACAGUUGC
rnacentral:siRNA from 1 species